rnacentral:rRNA from 1 species
CAAUAGCGUAUAUUUAAGUUGUUGCAGUUAAAAAGCUCGUAGUUGGAUUUCGGGUAGGAUUUGCCGGUCCGUCUUUGAGAUGUGUACUGGUAAGUCCUAUCUUCUUGUCGGGGACCAGCUCCUGGGCUUCACUGUCCGGGACUGGGAGCCGACGAAGUUACUUUGAGUAAAUUAGAGUGUUCAAAGCAAGCCUACGCUCUGAAUAUAUUAGCAUGGAAUAACACGAUAGGACUCUGGCUUAUCUUGUUGGUCUGUGAGACCAGAGUAAUGAUUAAGAGGGACAGUCGGGGACAUUCGUAUUUCAUUGUUAGAGGUGAAAUUCUUGGAUUUAUGAAAGACGAACUUCUGCGAAAGCAUUUGUCAAGGAUGUUUUCAUUAA